rnacentral:rRNA from 1 species
AUUGAACGCUGGCGGCAGGCUUAACACAUGCAAGUCGAGCGAGCGGCGGACGUGUGACUAAUGUCAGGGAAACUGCCUGAUGGAGGGGGAUAACUACUGGAAAGGGUAGCUAAUACCGUAUACCAUCAGAUGUGCCCAGAGGGGAUUAGCUAGUGGGUGGGGUAAUGGCACACCUAGGCGACGAUCCCUAGCUGGUCUGAGAGGAUGACCAGCCACACUGGAACUGAGACACGGUCCAGACUCCUACGGGAGGCAGCAGUGGGGAAUAUUGCACCAUGGGCGCGAGCCUGAUGCAGCCAGGCCGCGUGUGUGAAGAAGGCCUUCGGGUUGUAAAGCACUGUCAGCGAGGAGGCGUUACUCGCAGAAGAAGCACCGGCUAACUCCGUGCCAGCAGCCGCGGUAAUAC